rnacentral:rRNA from 1 species
AGCGGAGGAAAAGAAACUAACAAGGAUUCCCCUAGUAACUGCGAGUGAAGCGGGAAAAGCUCAAAUUUAAAAUCUGGCGGUCUCUGGCCGUCCGAGUUGUAAUCUAGAGAAGUGUUAUCCGCGCUGGACCGUGUACAAGUCUCCUGGAAUGGAGCGUCAUAGAGGGUGAGAAUCCCGUCUUUGACACGGACUGCCAGGGCUUUGUGAUGCGCUCUCAAAGAGUCGAGUUGUUUGGGAAUGCAGCUCAAAAUGGGUGGUAAAUUCCAUCUAAAGCUAAAUAUUGGCGAGAGACCGAUAGCGAACAAGUACCGUGAGGGAAAGAUGAAAAGAACUUUGGAAAGAGAGUUAAACAGUACGUGAAAUUGCUGAAAGGGAAACGCUUGAAGUCAGUCGCGUUGGCCGGGGAUCAACCUUGCUUUUGCUGGGCGUACUUUCCGGUUGAUGGGUCAGCAUCAAUUUUGACCGUUGGAUAAAGUCCAGGGGAAUGUGGCAUCUUCGGAUGUGUUAUAGCCCUUGGUCGCAUACAACGGUUGGGAUUGAGGAACUCAGCACGCCGCAAGGCCGGGUACUUGUACCACGUUCGUGCUUAGGAUGCUGGCAUAAUGGCUUUAAUCGACCCGUCUUGAAACACGGACCAAGGAGUCUAACAUGCCUGCGAGUGUUUGGGUGGAAAACUCGGACGCGUAAUGAAAGUGAAAGUUGAGAUCCCUGUCGUGGGGAGCAUCGACGCCCGGACCAGACCUUUUGUGACGGAUCCGCGGUAGAGCAUGUAUGUUGGGACCCGAAAGAUGGUGAACUAUGCCUGAAUAGGGUGAAGCCAGAGGAAACUCUGGUGGAGGCUCGUAGCGAUUCUGACGUGCAAAUCGAUCGUCAAAUUUGGGUAUAGGGGCGAAAGACUAAU